CUACGGGUCGAUGCAGUGAGGAAUAUUGCACAAUGGGGGGAACCCCGAUGCAGCAACGCCGCGUGGAGGAUGACGCAUUUCGGUGUGUAAACUCCUUUUAUAUGUCAAGAAAAUGACGGUAGCAUAUGAAUAAGCACCGGCUAACUCCGUGCCAGCAGCCGCGGUAAUACGGAGGGUGCAAGCGUUACUCGGAAUCACUGGGCGUAAAGGACGCGUAGGCGGGUUGGAAAGUCAGGUGUGAAAUCCUACAGCUUAACUGUAGAACUGCACUUGAAACUUCUAAUCUAGAGUAUGGGAGGGGGAGAUGGAAUUAGUGGUGUAGGGGUAAAAUCCGUAGAUAUCACUAGGAAUACCUAAAGCGAAGGCGAUCUCCUGGAACAUUACUGACGCUAAGGCGUGAAAGCGUGGGGAGCAAACAGGAUUAGAUACCCGCGUAGUC
rnacentral:rRNA from 1 species